rnacentral:lncRNA from 1 species
GCUCCCGGCCCUGCCAAGAGGAGGGCAAUGCCGGGUCUCCUUCCUCGGGCCGUGGUGCCAUCUCCCAGCUUCUGCUUCCCUGCAGGCCGCCAGGAAAGCCACUGUACAAACGGCCAAGCUCCAGCGCUGGAACGACCUCCGGGAGCUGGCUGAGAAACAGGAGACGUGGAGGAUGGCACAGUGCUUGCUGCAGUGGGACCAGAGCAGGGCGCAGGAAUACCUGCAGCAGAGCCAGCCCUACCUGCAGGACCCUCAGGCGGCCUUGCGAGAGGAGGCCGUGAGGUUCAUUGGUGAGCCGCAGCCCCUUUGUCCCUCCCUUGGCAGUGGUUGGCGGUCCCAGCCACUGCCCUGUGGCCCUAACAGCCCCUUGAGUGGGUCCCAGGGCCCUGGUGCCUUGCUCAGGCCCCCCUCGGCCACUCUCGCUGCUGGGGAGCAGUGCGACUCUGCUGCUGGGAGCAGGAUCUGACGGGUGCUCUGUGUCUAGGGCUUGCUGCGCGCUACUCGAGGGACCUGAGCGAGGACAAGCUGCAGGACAUCAUCACAGGUAAGUGAGGGCUGUGGUGCGUGUACUGAAGCUGGGGGCAGAGACCCCCAUGCCUCGCUCUCCUCCAAGGAAAUUCUUGGGGCAGAGGGACGAUACAGAACCACAGAGUCCUAGAAAGGCUGACUGUCAAGCGACCUUAAGGGUCUCAGAACCAGGGAAUCCCAGAGAGAUGGGAUUGGAAGGGACCUGAAAGAUCAUGCAGCCAUGAGAUCCUAGAAUAAUUCAGUGGAAAGGGAGCUCAAAGAUCAUACGACCAUGAAAUCCCGGAGCGGUAGAAUGGUUAGGUUGGAAAGAACAUUAAAGGCCAUUGUGUUCCAACCCCCUGCUGGAUGCCCCUGGACGCC